GUUGGAUUUGUCAAGGCUUUGUUGGAAACUUUUUCUAUGAAUUUAUCCGGUAGUGUGGAUUUUUCAUUCCUUCUAUUUAAAAUUUCGUUAAUCGUUUUCCAUGUCAUUCUACUAUUGUUUUUAUAAUUUACAAAUUGUUUUUCAUAAUAAUUUUUUUUGGCGAGUUUGACUAGGUGAUUUAGUUUGUUCUUAUACUUUUUGUAUGUUUCUUCAUUUUUCCGAUUAGGUGUUUUCAAAUAUUUUCUAUAAAGUUUAUUUUUUUCAGUUACGGACUUUGAAAUACUGUGAGUCAUCCAAGGACUUUUAAAGUAAUCAAUCUUUUUUUUCUUUUUC